GACGAACGCUGGCGGCGUGCUUAACACAUGCAAGUCGAACGGAAAGGCCCUGCUUGCAGGGUACUCGAGUGGCGAACGGGUGAGUAACACGUGGGUGAUCUGCCCUGCACCUCGGGAUAAGCUUGGGAAACUGGGUCUAAUACCGGAUAGGAGCCAUCUUUAGUGUGGUGGUUGGAAAGUUUUUUCGGUGUAGGAUGAGCUGGCGGCCUAUCAGCUUGUUGGUGGGGUAAUGGCCUACCAAGGCGGCGACGGGUAGCCGGCCUGAGGGGGUGUACGGCCACAUUGGGACUGGGAUACGGCCCAGGCUCCUACGGGGGGCAGCAGUGGGGGAUGUUGCAAAAUGGGCGCGAGCCUGAUGCAGCGACGCCGCGUGGGGGAUGAAGGCCUUCGGGUUGGAAACUCCUUUCGCUAGGGACGGAGCUUUUUGUGACGGUACCUGGAUAAGAAGCACCGGCUAACUACGUG
rnacentral:rRNA from 1 species